AUUGAACGCUGGCGGCAGGCUUAACACAUGCAAGUCGAGCGGAGCGAGGGUGCUUGCACCUUAGCUUAGCGGCGGACGGGUGAGUAAUGCGUAGGAAUCUGCCUAUUAGUGGGGGACAACAUUCCGAAAGGAAUGCUAAUACCGCAUACGCCCUACGGGGGAAAGAAGGGGAUCUCCGGACCUUGCGCUAAUAGAUGAGCCCAAGUCGGAUUGGCUAGUUGGUGGGGUAAAGGGCUACCAAGGCGACGAUCUGUAGCGGGUCUGAGAGGAUGUUCCGCCACACUGGGACUGAGACACGGCCCAGACUCCUACGGGAGGCAGCAGUGGGGAAUAUUGGACAAUGGGCGGAAGCCUGAUCCAGCCAUGCCGCGUGUGUGAAGAAGGCCUUUUGGUUGUAAAGCACUUUAAGCGAGGAGGAGGCUACUUAGAUUAAUACUCUGGGAUAGUGGACGUUACUCGCAGAAUAAGCACCGGCUAACUCUGUGCCAGCAGCCGCCGUAA
rnacentral:rRNA from 1 species